rnacentral:rRNA from 1 species
GACGAACGCUGGCGGCGUGCUUAACACAUGCAAGUCGAACGGAAAGACCCUGCUUUUGUGGGGUGCUCGAGUGGCGAACGGGUGAGUAACACGUGAGUAACCUGCCCUUGACUUUGGGAUAACUUCAGGAAACUGGGGCUAAUACCGGAUAGGAGCUCCUGCUGCAUGGUGGGGGUUGGAAAGUUUCGGCGGUUGGGGAUGGACUCGCGGCUUAUCAGCUUGUUGGUGGGGUAGUGGCUUACCAAGGCUUUGACGGGUAGCCGGCCUGAGAGGGUGACCGGCCACAUUGGGACUGAGAUACGGCCCAGACUCCUACGGGAGGCAGCAGUGGGGAAUAUUGCACAAUGGGCGGAAGCCUGAUGCAGCAACGCCGCGUGCGGGAUGACGGCCUUCGGGUUGUAAACCGCUUUCGCCUGUGACGAAGCGUGAGUGACGGUAAGGGGUAAAGAAGCACCGGCUAACUACGUGC